UACGGAGGGGGCUAGCGUUGUUCGGAAUUACUGGGCGUAAAGAGCGCGCAGGCGGUCGUUCAAGUCGAGUGUGAAAGCCCCCGGCUCAACUGGGGAGGGUCACUCGAUACUGAUCGACUUGAAGGCAGGAGAGGGAAGCGGAAUUCCAGGUGUAGCGGUGAAAUGCGUAGAUAUCUGGAGGAACACCGGUGGCGAAGGCGGCGUUCUGGACUGCAACUGACACUGAGAAACGAAAGCCAGGGUAGCAAACGGG
rnacentral:rRNA from 1 species